GGCCGCCUGGCGAAAUGGCAUCGCGUCUGACUACGACUACAACUUAUAGUCACGUGAUCAGGAGAUCGCAGGUUCGACCCCUGCGGUGGUCA